rnacentral:rRNA from 1 species
AACGAACGCUGGCGGCGCGCCUAAUACAUGCAAGUCGAGCGAGAAGACGUAGCAAUACGUUUGUAAAGCGGCGAACGGGUGAGGAAUACAUGGGUAACCUACCCUCGAGUGGGGAAUAACUAGCCGAAAGGUUAGCUAAUACCGCGUACGCUCCUUGGACUUCGGUUCAGGGAGGAAAGCGAUACCGUGGGUAUCGCGCUCUUGGAUGGGCUCAUGUCCUAUCAGCUUGUUGGUGAGGUAACGGCUCACCAAGGCUUCGACUGGUAGCUGGUCUGAGAGGACGAUCAGCCACACUGGCACUGCGACACGGGCCAGACUCCUACGGGAGGCAGCAGUAAGGAAUAUUGCGCAAUGGGCGAAAGCCUGACGCAGCGACGCCGC